CCUGAGAAACCCAAAAGAUCGAAUGAAAAGAUUCAUCGUCAGCUUAUUUUGUAUAUAUAUAAGUUAUGAUGUGAGUUACUAUUUUUAUUAAUAGUAUUGCUUAUACAUUCUUAUAUAUUUAGUUGCAAAAUUUUGUCGGCGUGCACUUCUUUUCUAGUAGAACAUCGCGACCCGUUAUGUGUCGGUCUACGGCCCAAUUGGUAGUCUUUAAUAUUUAUAAAAUAAUAUUAAAGUCCAUUGGUGUUUUCUGACCGUGUACAUGGCGGGACAGGUACGGUAUUAAGGCGCAGAUGUAAUUUGCGUUCAUUCCCGUCGCAAGCAAGAUUUCUAAUAGUAUGGACUAUGUGCCGUCGUUAGUAUUAAUCAGCUGUUGGUUGUUAACGGUGUUCUAGAACUGGCUUAAAAAAAAAUAAAUAAUAAUUACCGGUCGGCGAUGCUACUGCUUUGGGUACUUUCAGGACCCGUCUUGAAACACGGACCAAGGAGUCUAACAUGUACGCGAGUCAUUGGGAUUUUUUUUUUAUUAAAUUAAACCUAAAGGCAUAAUGAAAGUAAAGAUCGUCCUUGCGUCGAUUUAGGGAAGAUGAAUUAUAUUAAGAUAUAAUUCCGCAUUCCCGGGGCGUCUCAUUCUUAUUACAA
rnacentral:rRNA from 1 species